rnacentral:rRNA from 1 species
CCUACGGGUGGCUGCAGUGGGGAAUAUUGGACAAUGGGGGCAACCCUGAUCCAGCCAUGCCGCGUGUGUGAAGAAGGCCCUCGGGUUGUAAAGCACUUUCAGUGAGGAAGAACGCCUGGUGGUUAAUACCCAUCAGGAAAGACAUCACUCACAGAAGAAGCACCGGCUAACUCCGUGCCAGCAGCCGCGGUAAUACGGAGGGUGCGAGCGUUAAUCGGAAUUACUGGGCGUAAAGCGCGCGUAGGUGGCUUGAUAAGCCGGUUGUGAAAGCCCCGGGAUCAACCUGGGAACGGCAUCCGGAACUGUCAAGCUAGAGUGCAGGAGAGGAAGGUAGAAUUCCCGGUGUAGCGGUGAAAUGCGUAGAGAUCGGGAGGAAUACCAGUGGCGAAGGCGGCCUUCUGGACUGACACUGACACUGAGGUGCGAAAGCGUGGGUAGCAAACAGGAUUAGAUACCCUUGUAGUC